rnacentral:rRNA from 1 species
UACGGAGGGGGCUAGCGUUGUUCGGAUUUACUGGGCGUAAAGCGCACGUAGGCGGCAUAUUAAGUUAGAGGUGAAAGGCCUGGGCUCAACCUAGGAACGGCCUUUAAUACUGGUAUGCUUGAGUUCGGAAGAGGGUAGUGGAAUUCCAAGUGUAGAGGUGAAAUUCGUAGAUAUUUGGAAGAACACCGGUGGCGAAGGCG